GGCCGUGGUCGGGGGUGGCCUCACUUCCCAGAACUUCCCCAUCCCUUGUGGCGGCAAGAAACCAUCCACAGCGUGAGGGCGGCAGACUCGACUGGAGCGGGAAGAGGUGCUCCUGGGGCCCAGAGGGAAGUCACUUGACUUCCUUUCACCGCCAUUACCAGAAGUAGUCCCUAGAGCUUGAUCUUAAAUGGAACAGGAAGCCACUAGAAGGACGCAAGCUACAAAGUGGAUUCAAGGAGAAUUCAGAAGAAGAGUCACCAGGAACCGAGUCAGCCAGCAUCUUCAUUUUGGACUUCCCAGGCUUCGGAAUUUGAAGAAAUAAAUGUCUGUUUUUAAACCACCCAGUCUGCGGUAAUUCUUUGUGCAGCUGAGCUAAGACAUCUCUCAACAUUUCUCCUCCCGCCCCACACAGCCCCCAGUCCUCAGGGGACGGACCUGUCACCCUGACAGGUGCCCACCUGACAAGAGCCUCCUCGGCUGGAGCCCUCUCAGCCAAGCGGCGGCCGCUGCCGGCACUCACGUACAGCCCCACAGGCGCCGGGACGGUGAACGCGGGGCUGCUGCCGCGGGAGACGUGAGCAUACCCGUACCGCAUCCUGUCCCCCACCGACCGCAUCCUUAAUCCUAAGAACAACGCAUCCAGGCAGCUUCCAUUUUCUUUGUUUUACAAAAGAGAAAACAGACGAGGUUCAGAAGCGUUAACUGACUUGCCUGAGGCCAUCCCACUAACAGGUUCCAGAGUUGGGGUUUGACGCUCGCCAGCUGGCCGCAGAGCCGGAGCCUCUCGCUCUACACGUCACUGUCCACUCCCGCCUCCAUCCUCUGGUCAUCUCUCCGUGGGGCGGAGUCAAGAAGGCAGAGCAUCGCCUGGUUCAAUCUCAGCUGGAAUCAUGGACAUGAGGCAACUCAAAUUUUUUGCUAUUCUGCU